rnacentral:rRNA from 1 species
CCUACGGGUGACAGCAGUAGGGAAUCUUUCACAAUGGGCGAAAGCCUGAUGGAGCAACGCCGCGUGCAGGAUGAAGGCCUUCGGGAUGUAAACUGCUUUUAUAAGCGAGAAAUAUGAUGGUAACUUAUGAAUAAGGAUCGGCUAACUACGUGCCAGCAGCCGCGGUCAUACGUAGGAUCCGAGCAUUAUCCGGAGUGACUGGGUGUAAAGAGUUGCGUAGGUGGCAUAAUAAGUAGCUAGUGAAAUCUGGUGGCUCAACCAUUCAGACUAUUAGCUAAACUGUUAAGCUCGAGACCGUUAGGGGUAACUGGAAUUUCUAGUGUAGGGGUGAAAUCCGUAGAUAUUAGAAGGAACACCAAUAGCGUAGGCAGGUUGCUGGGACGGUUCUGACACUAAGGCACGAAAGCGUAGGGAGCAAACGGGAUUAGAUACCCUUGUAGUC